rnacentral:rRNA from 1 species
GACGAACGCUGGCGGCGUGCUUAACACAUGCAAGUCGAACGGUAAGGCCCCAGCUUGCUUGGGUACACGAGUGGCGAACGGGUGAGUAACACGUUGGUGACCUGCCCCGCACUUCGGGAUAAGCCUUGGUAACUGGUGCUAAUACCGGAUACGACCUCACCGUGAUGGGGUGGUGGAAAGUUUUUCGGUGUGGGAUGGGCCCGCGGCCUAUCAGCUUGUUGGUGGGGUAAUGGCCUACCAAGGCGGCGACGGGUAGCCGGCCUGAGAGGGUGGACGGACAAAUUGGGACUGAGACAAGGCCCAGACUACUACGGGAGGCAGCAGUGGGGAAUAUUGCAUAAUGGGAGGAAGCCUGAUGUAGCGAAGCAGUGUGGGGGAUGACGGCAUUCGGGUUGUAAACUCAUUUCACCAUAGACGAAGGUUUUAUGACGGUAGAUGGAGAAGAAGCACCGGCUAACUACGUG